GGGGCUAUAGCUCAGCUGGGAGAGCACCUGCCUUGCACGCAGGAGGUCUGCGGUUCGAUCCCGCAUAGCUCCA
rnacentral:tRNA from 1 species